rnacentral:rRNA from 1 species
UACGUAGGGCGCAAGCGUUGUCCGGAAUUAUUGGGCGUAAAGAGCUCGUAGGCGGCCUGUUGCGUCCGCUGUGAAAACCCGGGGCUUAACCCCGGGCUUGCAGUGGAUACGGGCAGGCUGGAGGCAGGCAGGGGAGAACGGAAUUCCCGGUGUAGCGGUGAAAUGCGCAGAUAUCAGGAGGAACACCGGUGGCGAAGGCGGGUCUCUGGGUCAAGACUGACGCUCAUGCACGAAAGCGUGGGGAGCAAACAGG